rnacentral:lncRNA from 1 species
ACAAAAAGCAGGAACGAGUAGCGGUGGCUGAAGAACGAGCAGGAGCUUGAAUUUCAGUUUUCUUAUGAGGAAUUUUCCAGAAAAGAUAUCUUCACUGUGAAAUAACUAAAUAAAUGCCCACUCAGUACACUUUCCCUGCACUCCAAACACAGAGCUGAGACUUCCACCUAAUGUAGAAAGCUAGCACGAGCCGGCGCUGACAGAUGGAAGACUUGAGAUGUUACAAGAUUAUAUAUGGAAACACAAAAGGAGAUACCGGAGCCAUGACAGACUGUGAUGGGGCUGGUGGACAGUUCAGCAAGACAUUGAUAUUGUCCAUUGGCGCUCAGUUCAUCUGUAAUGACACAUUCAAGGAUGACGAUUAAUGUCCAAUAUGUAUAAAGUGGAUCCCUUUGUAAAAACAA